CCCUUAGAUGUUCUGGGCCGCACGCGCGCUACACUGACGAAUGCAACGAGCUUAUAACCUUGGCCGAAAGGUCUGGGUAAUCUCCAAAUUUCGUCGUGAUGGGGAUAGAUUAUUGCAAUUAUUAAUCUUCAACGAGGAAUGCCUAGUAAGCGCAAGUCAUCAGCUUGCGUUGAUUACGUCCCUGCCCUUUGUACACACCGCCCGUCGCUCCUACCGAUUGAAUGGUCCGGUGAAGCGCUCGGACCGCGGCCUCUUGACGGUUCGCUGUCGAUUGGCUGUGGGAAGUUCGUUAAACCUUAUCAUUCAGAGGAAGGAGAAGUCGUAACA
rnacentral:rRNA from 1 species